AAAGUGUCAUUGACAUUAACAAAGGAGUUGAAUUCGUAAAUACAUGAGAAUGGAUAGGAUAAAGUCAGAACCCCAACAACAUAAUUCAUCCAUAUAUCAUUCACCUGCAUAUUCUUUUGGUCAAUUGAUCAACAACUGCAUUCAUGUUUAUUUUCGGUUUUGCAUUAUAAACAUUGAUUUUUGUUUCUCAAGUCUUAAAUAAUCAAUAAA
rnacentral:lncRNA from 1 species